UGGUUAUCAGCGACUUGUAGACGACAACCCAGUUGGCAUUCUGAGAACGCUCGAUAAGUAAAUUGGCCAGAUGAGGUAUCGACACAUUCGGCUCGUUUGUGCAGUGCACCAAAUCUGCAAGAAAACAAAGAUAUUUAGGAUUUUGGUAACAUGGACUGGACUAUUUUUUAUUAGUUGAUAAAGGCUCGAACAAAGCAUGAAAUAAUUUCGAUACUGAGGAAAUAUAACUGUGAAUUUACGCAACGAGAGAGAGUGAGAGCAGAAGAGAGAAAGAGGGGGCACUCACAGUCCAAGUGCUUCUUCUUUGGGCCUAUGCAUUCCUCCGUGGUGGCCUUGCAA